rnacentral:piRNA from 1 species
UGCAAGGUGGUCAGACAAUUUUGUCAGAACUG